CUGCCCUCGCCCAGCCUGGCAGCCAGCAUGAGGCUCUUCCACAUCCUGCUGCUGCCUCUCUGCCUGCUCUUCGCCCAGGUGGGCCCAGCUUUGGUUUAGCCACAGUGGGCACCAACCUCAGACGGAGGGCACAGACCUCAGACGGAGGGCACAGACCUCAGACGGAGGGCACAGACCUCAGGCAGCUGGCAUAGACCUCAGAGGGCACAGACCUCAGAAGAAGGGCACAGACCUCAGAUGGAGGGCACAGACCUCAGAUGCAGGGGACAGGUCUUUGCAUGAGCAGCCCAGAGGUACUGGCCUCCUUGCGAGUCUGUUACACAGGAGUCCAGAAUAUACAUGCAUCAAAGAGGGGGGGACCUGCAACUUCUCCCCAUGCCCGC